ACACCUCGGCCCCGCCGAGCCCCACGCCGCCCGCGCCCGCCAACCUCGCGCCGCCGACUAAGGUCCGGGCCGCGCACCUCGGGCCGCGCGCGCGCCGGGAGGGGAGCGGGAGGCGGGGCGGUCUACGCGGUGCGGCGGAGCGGUGAGUGGCGCGGCCCCGCCGCGGCCAUGGAGGUCUACAUCCCGUCCUUUCGCCACGAGGACAGCGAUCUGGAGCGCGGCUACACGGUAGGCCGGUCCCCGCGGGUCCCCCGGUUGCAGCACCCCCCACACCUCCGCCGCCCGCGAGGUCGUCAUGGAGACUGGCGCCCCUCCCCAGCGCGCGCCCCCCCUGGGCUCCAUCCCUUCCCCCUCCGCGGCCCGCGGCCUCGGGAGCUUCAGGAGCCGGGCCGGCUGCCCUCUGCGUGCGGACUGAGAGGCUGUGUGCAGGUUCUUGAUGGCUUGCAAGUUCUGUAAGAUUCUUUCAGGUGGAGAACGGGUUACCAAGAAAAUAUAAAAAUAAAGGAAGAAAGGAAAAAAAAAAAGAAAGAAAAAAAUCAACAUUUUUGUGACUGCUCAUUAGCCAGGUUAAUAGAUUGAUUAUUUUUUAGAUUUUUUUUUUUGAGUUUGUUUCUUUUUAGUUCUGCAAUGGCAUGAAACGGCACAAUCAGGUGCUUUACCUUAGCACAUGUCCUGAACUCAGAGUCGCCCAGAAAUUCCAGACAGGUAGCUUGCUCAGUGUAGAAGCAAUCGAAGAGACCAGCUCUGGACCCUUAUAGGAAGAUGUUAAAUGAAUCAAGUGUUGGUUGAAUUCCUAGUCAAUUUAAGCUGCUCUGUCUAGAUAGCCAUUGCGACCCGGAGAGAUGCUUCAGAUUGGCUGGAACUUGCAAGACUUUAUUUGCAGUUGUUGGGAAGUAGUAUAGAAGGAUCAUGCCCCAGAUCCACAAACUUCGUUUCUUCUCUUUUUGACUGGCAGCUGUGUUUCUUUUCUAUCAUUGCAUUGGCCAGAGUUUCUUGUGAAAUACCAAACAGUACUUGUGAUGCGCUCUUCUGCUUGCUCCAAAUGAGAUGUUGAAUAAGACCUUUGCUGUUAGAGUUAGUCUGUCUCUCUUUCCUCCCUCCCCUCCCCGCCACCCCUGCCACUCCCCAGACAGGGUUUCUCUGUGCAGCCCUGACUGCCCUGGAACUCACCCUGUAGACCAGGCUUUGAACUCAGAGAUCCACCUGCCUCUGCCUCCCUAGUGCUGGAGUGGUGGAGACUAAAGGUGUGCACCACCAACCACCUCCACCUCCGGGCUAGAGUAGUCAGUCUUUAACAGAUGGAAGGUGUGUCUUGCUGUUUCGAGUAUAAGAAUUAAGAAUAGGUGUGCUACACAAUGUUCCCUUCAGGAUCUGUGGGAGUAUCUAAGUUUGGGAGUAUCUAAGUAGCGGAGCAGCCUGCAUGGAUGCGGUCUUACUCACUCAUGUCUUCCUGGCACAGUGUGUUAACCCGUCUUCCUUCCUCUAAACUAUGUUGUGUCUUGUGACAGUCGUUUUAAACCCUUAAGUUUUCAAAGUGGAAACUAAAUCUCCCUCUGAAAAGAGGAUGCCUAAGUCGUGUUCCCCCCACCCCCCCAAGUGGCUAAAGUGCACUCCAUGGUCAGGAACUGGUGAGAGGAAGCUGCACUCUGCGGGACUCUUUUCUUCUAUACAUUGCCCACCCCCACCCCCCAGUCACUUAAGGAGCUGGAACUGGAGCCCAUUUCAAGGGUCAGAAACCUUGACUGUAUUUUAUUCUUCCAGAACUCCCAAGUCUCCUGUUAGCAUCAGCAGCACCUUGCCUUUGAGAGGCAUUUUUUUUUUGGAGGUUUAAAGAUAAAAAGGCUUUGAGGACCUUGGGCUUCAGGCAGCCCAAGAGGAGAGGUAGUUAUCGGCACAAGUAAGAGAUGACAAUCCAGCUUCCUGGCCUAGCCCAUGACUGGAGAUGCUUGCUCCUCUUUACUUAGUGUUUGUUAAAGAUUGCAUUACAUGCAUUUAUUGUGUGAAGUGUGUGCCUGGGUCCUGUGUACUCCUGUGCCUCAGUUUAUGUGUGGGAGUCAGAGGCUACUUCUUGGAAUCAAUUCUCUCCUUCCAGCAAGUGGGUUCCUGAAAUUGAACUCACAUCUUCAGACUUGGCUGCAAAUGCCUGUAUCUUUUGAGCUACCCUGCUGGUCUUGUUUGUUGUUUGUUUCUUUGUCUCCUAUGUGACCCAGGCUGGCCUCAAAAUCAAAGCAGUCCUCUGAUCUCAGCUUCUUUGGGACUGGGUUUACAGGGGACAGGUGUAUACAACCAUAUCUGGCCUGAAUUUCUUUCAUUUGAGAACCUGAAUUUCCUCCCUGAAGUAUAUAUCCCUUAGUGAUUAUGACUGUGUGUUAUAUUAAAAGAACGAGAUGUGUAAUUCUUACUACUUCAGUGAUAGAGAGGUUAAGUAGAAACCACAGAUGGUCUGGAGUUAAGAUCUGUCUAACCAAAAUACAGCUCUCAUUCCAAAGGGAACAAGAGAGAGAGAGAGAGUCUGUCCUGUGCCAGACCUGAGUGACUGCACCCUGGGUACAUAUGGAUUCACAUUACCCCAAAUGGCAUGCUCUACCCUGGAAGUGAUUACAGGAGCUUUUACAGUCACAGGACAAAAGGUAGCCAUAAACUGAGACAUUUUUCAAAUACAUUUGGUCUGUCAUUUAGCAGCCAUGGGG
rnacentral:lncRNA from 1 species